AUGAUGAUGUCAUUGACUCUACUGCUGACCACCCUGGGGCUCCUUGUUCAGGGUUCAUCAGGAGAAAUCAUCCUGACUCAGACUCCUGGAUCUCAGUCUGUUGUUCCAGGACAGACUGUCUCCAUCACAUGUAAAACCAGUACAAGUGUUGGCAGCUAUCUUACCUGGUAUCUUCAGAAACCAGGAGCAGCUCCUAAACUUCUGAUUUAUUAUUCUACAACUCUUCACUCUGGAAUUCCGAGUCGUUUUAGUGGAAGUGGAUCUGGUUCUGACUACACUCUGACCAUCAGUGGAGUUCAGGCUGAAGAUUCAGGAGUUUAUUACUGUCAGCAGGGUAGCAACUGGCCGCUCACACAGUGAUACAACGUCGUACAAAAACCUCCCUCAGCUGGAGAGGAACUGAUCUGAACCAACAGCUGCACUGAAACUAAAACAGGACAAGAACUGAGACUAAACUGCAAAGAUUUUUGUUAUCAAAUUAAGUUUUAUGAAUUAAUAUCUCAAAAAGACUAUAGAUUUUAAUCUUCAGACAAGCAUCAAUGAGAAAAUUUUUAUUUUAGCUUUUUGACUUUAUAGGACAAAGAACAACAAAA